UACGAAGGGUGCUAGCGUUGUUCGGAAUCACUGGGCGUAAAGCGCGCGUAGGCGGUUAUUCAAGUCAGGGGUGAAAUCCUGAGGCUCAACCUCAGAAUUGCCUUUGAAACUGUAUAACUGGAGUGUCGGAGGGGAUAGCGGAAUUGCUAAUGUAGCGGUGAAAUGCGUAGAUAUUAGCAGGAACACCGGUGGCGAAGGCGGCUAUCUGGACGACAACUGACGCUGAGGCGCGAAAGCGCGGGGAUCAAAC
rnacentral:rRNA from 1 species